UGGGGAAUUUUGGACAAUGGGGGCAACCCUGAUCCAGCCAUGCCGCGUGCGUGAAGAAGGCCUUAGGGUUGUAAAGCGCUUUCAGCGGGGACGGUGAUGACGGUACCCGCAGAAGAAGCCCCGGCUAACUCCGUGCCAGCAGCCGCGGUAAUACGGAGGGGGCAAGGGUUGUUCGGAAUUACUGGGCGUAAAGGGCGCGUAGGCGGCACAUCAAGUCAGAGGUGAAAGCCCCGGGCUCAACCUGGGAUUUGCCUUUGAAACUGAUCAGCUUGAGUCCGGAAGAGGAUAGCGGAAUUCCCAGUGUAGAGGUGAAAUUCGUAGAUAUUGGGAAGAACACCAGUGGCGAAGGCGGCUAUCUGGUCCGGUACUGACGCUGAGGCGCGAAAGCGUGGGGAGCAAACAGGAUUAGAUACCCCGGUAGUCC
rnacentral:rRNA from 1 species